GAUGAACGCUAGCGGCAGGCCUAACACAUGCAAGUCAGGGGUAACAUAGGAAAGCUUGCUUUUCUGAUGACGACCGGCGCACGGGUGCGUAACGCGUAUACAACCUACCUUUUAGCGAGGAAUAGCCCAGGGAAACUUGGAUUAAUGCCCCAUAGUAUAUAGACUUCUCCUGAAGUUUAUAUUAAACAUUUAUGGCUAUUAGAUGGGUAUGCGUCCUAUUAGUUAGUUGGUAAGGUAACGGCUUACCAAGGCAGCGAUAGGUAGGGGUCCUGAGAGGGAGAUCCCCACACUGGUACUGAGGCACGGACCAGACUCCUACGGGAGGCAGCAGUGAGGAAUAUUGGACAAUGGGCGAGAGCCUGAUCCAGCCAUGCCGCGUGCAGGAAGACUGCCCUAUGGGUUGUAAACUGCUUUUACAGAGGAAGAACCACCCCCACGUGUGGGGGUUUGACGGUACUCUGCGAAUAAGGAUCGGCUAACUCCGUG
rnacentral:rRNA from 1 species